GGGGCUGUAUUGGUUUUGACAGCAUAGGUUACGGUAGGUGUAAGCAUGCAGUGCGUUGGAUAAUUAGCACUUUAAUCUGAAUAUUCAAACAUUAAUUGGCAAUACUCAGUAUGCCAUGGCUGCUUAAUCAGCGAUUAACCAGUCAUUCGGGCCGCCGAACAGGUUAGCUUGUUACCAAGUUCCGCCGCCGACUCAAAACAAAACAAGAUGCUGUUGUUAAAGGCUGUGCUAACAACAAAAGACUAUGCAGCUAAGCAUUGUGUUGGUUUGUUCAUUUCCUGCAUAGUGCCGACAAUUAAUAAUGAAAUAAGCAUGUAGAAAGCUUGCGGUAAAUAUGUUUGGACAGCGGUUCGAGUCCGCUCAGCUCCACAU
rnacentral:tmRNA from 1 species